GUGGGGAAUCUUAGACAAUGGGCGCAAGCCUGAUCUAGCCAUGCCGCGUGAGCGAUGAAGGCCUUAGGGUUGUAAAGCUCUUUCGUGGGGGAAGAUAAUGACUGUACCCCAAGAAGAAGCCCCGGCUAACUCCGUGCCAGCAGCCGCGGUAAUACGGAGGGGGCUAGCGUUGUUCGGAAUUACUGGGCGUAAAGCGCACGUAGGCGGACUGGAAAGUCAGGGGUGAAAUCCCGGGGCUCAACCCCGGAACUGCCUUUGAAACUCCCAGUCUUGAGUUCGAGAGAGGUGAGUGGAAUUCCGAGUGUAGAGGUGAAAUUCGUAGAUAUUCGGAGGAACACCAGUAGCGAAGGCGGCUCACUGGCUCGAUACUGACGCUGAGGUGCGAAAGCGUGGGGAGCAAACAGGAUUAGAAACCCUGGUAGUCC
rnacentral:rRNA from 1 species